CAUUACCAAUUCCUGGAGUCCACUCAAACUCAUGUCCACUGACUCAGUGAUGGCAUCCAACAAUCUUGUCCACUGUCAUCCCCUUCUCCUCCUGCCUUCAAUCUUUCCCAACAUCAGGGUUUUUCCAGUGAGUCAGUUCUUUGCAUCAGGUGGACAAACUAUUGGA